GCGGGGCCCGGGGAGAGCGGGGCCCGGGGAGAGCGGGGAGCGGGGCCCGGGGAGCGAUAAUCCUGCGAGCCGUGGGCAGGGCCGCCGCAGGAGUCCGGGUUGGAACGGGCCCGACCCCCAGAAUGAGGUGCAGGCGGGGCUGGGAAUGUCGGUGUGGAGGGCGCAGGGCUGGAGCGAGAUUGUGUCCGGUUCUGGGAUCGCCAGAGACAGGGAGCUCCUGGAGCGGGUCUAGAUAAGGGCAGCGAAAAUGAUGAAGGGACUGGAUCGUCUCUGUCACGACAAUAUGCUGAGAGCUGGGCCUGUUCACCCUCGGGAAGAGGUGACUGAGAGGGGAGCUCUUCAAUGUGUGUAAAUAUCUAAAGAGAGCAUAAGGAAGAACUUCUUUAUUGUGCAGGUAACUGUGGAACAGAUAGUCCAGAGAGGAUUGUGGAUUCCCCCUGACCGGAGAUAGUCAAGAACCAUCUGCAUGCAGUCCUGAGCCGUGUGCCCUAGGACAGCCCUGCUUGAGCAGGGAGGUUGGACUGCACAACCCACUGUGCUCCCUCCCAGCAUGACCCAUCCUGUGAUUCUGUGAGAGCUCUGCUGGGCUUUUGCACCCCCAGGGCUCUGCCCAAGAGCUGUGAUUGCACAGGGCAGGGGAAGGGAGGCAGAAAAAAAAAAGGCUCUUGUGGAUAAAAUAGGUUUGGUUUAUAGGAAAGGGUGAAGUAGGAGCUAAAAUUAUCAACAGAAGAACUUUAUUGGGAGUAGAGGAGAUGAGCAAUCAACCAGCAAUGAUUUUUAGGCUCAAUGAUAGAUAAGGAGCACUGAAGGAUGUGAGUGAUGGCAACAGCCAGGAGCCUUCAGCAUGAUAAACCCCAAGGUGUAAACAAAACCAGUAGCUGUGGAGACCUGAAUCUCAACUGCUUGUACAAAAACUCUUGGUAUUAGGAUGUGAUUAAAGAAACCAAAGCAGUGCUUUAACGUACAAGAGAGAGAAUGAGAUAAGAGAGAAAUAUCCCUUCCUUGGACCCCUCCUAGCUCCCACCUCUAGAAACCCAAUGCUCCUCUGCUGCUUACAGGUGCAGCUGUGAAGAGCUUCUGCCACAGCUUAUACCACUGUCUGGUUGUUGGCAUGUGCACUUCCGGCCAUGGUUUUGCAAGGAGUUGAUAUCCUAAACAAGAAGGAUCUUUUCCUUGCUGUUCUCCAAAUGUGGUUUUUCAGUUCCAAACAGUAGAAGAAUGGAAUAUAAAAUGGCCAAAAAAGUAAUCCAGGGUUUGAACGUAAGCCUUGAGGUGGAAGGCUUAGAAAUUUCUGUCUUUUCAGUUUGUCAUUGGGAAGAAGAGCAAAAGUUGAUUUUAUUGUCCAGUGUAGGCUCCUAGAUGGAACAGGGAGGUUUGAGAAGCUUCAAAAGGUGUUAUGCUGAAAUUUUGCUGGAUUACGCUGGAUCUUGAAUUAAGAUGGAGUUUACAAUUACUGAAGCAAUUUAAGUGUUAAAAUUGACAGCAAAAGUGAUGGAUUUCUUUUUACUUGGAGAUGCUGAAAGAAGCUUUCUAGAAAAAAAAUUGAUCCACUUCUAGCGUGAGAUCCUGUAGGCCGUCUAUUCAAGAGAGAGCAGAUCCCACCUACCUGCCUGUGAAUUUACAUGUGGGAUAUCUCCAGUCAAAUGUUUUGUGCUUUAAACCAAAAGUGACAUACGUAGAGUCACGUUUUCUUGUGCCAGCUAAAUGGAAGUGAAAUGCUCUAUGUUCUGAAGCUGCACUGAAUCCUUCCCUUUAGAGAAACCCUUAGCUGAUCAAGGCUCAGGCAUCAGACCAUGCAUUUCCAGGAUUUGGGAAAGGCACUAGAGGGUGCUGUGCUGAAAGAGAAGAACUGGGAUCUGUAUCUGCAGGAGAAACCAUCCGGACCUCUGCAAGGAGGGGAUCAAUAGAUGCUGCUUUUCCUGAAUCUUACACGAAGUGACAUAAGGACUGUUGACAUCAGGGGACAAGGGGUGCAACCUGUGUAUAGAUCUAAACUUGAGGACAUUAAAAUUGUAGAAGAUUGGUUGAACAUUAUUAAA